rnacentral:rRNA from 1 species
UACGUAGGGUGCAAGCGUUGUCCGGAAUUAUUGGGCGUAAAGAGCUCGUAGGCGGUCUGUCGCGUCGGCUGUGAAAACCCGGAGCUCAACUCCGGGCCUGCAGUCGAUACGGGCAGACUGGAGUUCGGCAGGGGAGACUGGAAUUCCUGGUGUAGCGGUGAAAUGCGCAGAUAUCAGGAGGAACACCGGUGGCGAAGGCGGGUCUCUGGGCCGGUACUGACGCUGAGGAGCGAAAGCGUGGGGAGCGAACAGG